GACGAACCGUGCGAACGUUGUUCGGAAUCACUGGGCUUAAAGGGCGCGUAGGCGGGCUUGCAAGUCUGCGGUGAAGGCCUCCAGCUUAACUGGAGAAGUGCCGUGGAUACUGCGAGCCUCGAGGAGGGUAGGGGCGUCUGGAACGUUGGGUGGAGCGGUGAAAUGCGUUGAUAUCCAACGGAACUCCGGUGGCGAAGGCGAGGCGCUGGACCCUUUCUGACGCUGAGGCGCGAAAGCCAGGGGAGCGAACGGG
rnacentral:rRNA from 1 species